AUGAUGAUAGUUGAUGCCAUCAUAGAUACUACACCAUACGGAUUCACCACUGUCUUAGCUAUGCUAUGCUCUACAGAUAAUGAGCAAAGUAGUUGCCUUAGUAUACAUCAUUUUUUGUUGGCUCAUGUCAUUAUCAGUUGCAUGUUCUCAGUUUACAAUUCCUUUUUCAGUUUAUAUAUGUAUGCAUACACCCAGUUUGCACAUUCCACUAUCCAAAUUUUCUUAAGUACUUGUACCCUACAGAUCUUAACAAAUAUUUGUAUCGCUGUUUUGUCAUGGUUGAGCAUGGAAACAUGUGACUUUGAUGAUCUUACAACACCAGAUUUACGUUUCAUGGUAUUAUCCUAUGGAAAACAAUUGUUGCUUUGUGUUUAUUCAGAAAGUUAA
rnacentral:rRNA from 1 species